CACGUAGGGCGCAAGCGUUGUCCGGAAUUAUUGGGCGUAAAGAGCUCGUAGGCGGUCUGUUACGUCUGCUGUGAAAACCCAGGGCUUAACCCUCGGGCUUGCAGUGGAUACGGGCAGACUAGAGGCAGGUAGGGGAGAAUGGAAUUCCCGGUGUAGCGGUGAAAUGCGCAGAUAUCGGGAAGAACACCCGGUGGCGAAGGCGGUUCUCUGGGACGGUACUGACGCUGAGACGCGAAAGCGUGGGGGAGCGAACAGG
rnacentral:rRNA from 1 species